rnacentral:rRNA from 1 species
GGAGAAGGAUUGAAGGGCGGACGGAGGAUGCCUAGGCUUCCGGAGGCGAUGAAGGACGCGGCAAGCUGCGAAAAAGCACGGGGAACCGCAAGCAGGUAUCGAUCCGUGCGUGUCCGAAUGGGGCAACCCGGCUGGAAGGAGUCCAGUCACCGGCGAGGAGCCGGGGCGAACGCGGGGAACUGAAACAUCUCAGUACCCGCAGGAGGAGAAAGAAAACAAUCGAUUGCCGUAGUAGUGGCGAGCGAACCGGCAAGAGCCCAAACCGGACCUGUCGAGGCAGGUCCGGGGUAGUAGGAGCCGCCAAGUGCACAUCUUGAGGAACCGGAACGGUCUGGAAAGGCCGGGCGCAGCGGGUGACACCCCCGUACGGGCGACGAGAGAUGAGCGGGCGGCCACCUGAGUAGGGCGGGACACGAGGAAUCCUGUCCGAAACCGCGGGGACCAACCCGCAAGGCUAAAGACUACCGGAAGACCGACAGUGGACCAGUACCGUGAGGGAAAGGUGGGAAGCACCCCGGGAGGGGGAGUGAAACAGAACCUGAAACCGUCCGUCUGCAAGCGGUCGGAGCGCGCGAGCGCGACGGCGUGCCUUUUGCAUAAUGAGCCUACGAGUUGUUCCUCAGCGGCGAGGCUAAGCCCCUCAGGGGCGGAGCCGCAGCGAGAGCGAGUCUGAACAGGGCGUUCAGUCGCUGGGGACAGACGCGAAACCCGGUGAUCUACCCUUGGCCAGGCUGAAGGGUCCGUAACUGGACCUGGAGGGCCGAACCGGUUUACGUUGAAAAGUGCUCGGAUGAGCUGAGGGUAGGGGUGAAAGGCCAAUCAAACCGGGAGAUAGCUCGUACUCCCCGAAAUGCCUUUAGGGGCAGCCUCGGGACAGCAACGCGGAGGUAGAGCUACUGAUAGGA